AGUUAAGGAAAGGAAAAUAUUCCAAAUAUAUCUUUGAUAGACAAUACUGGAAAAAAUUGUGAAGAAAAAAUACAAGUUACUAUAGAUCCCAAAGAUACUCCAAUAAAUCUAUUAGAACCUAGGAUGACUCUAAUAAAGCUCACACGUCAAGACUCUGAAAAAUAUAUUAAGAAUAGUCAGCAACCAUUAGCGUUUAUUGAAAACACUAUUCCAUCAAAAAUUACACGAAAACGGAAAGCACGUCAACCUUGCAGUCGUUGCAGAUAAAAAUAACCAUAUAUAUUUUAAGAUAUACGUUAUAUUUUAGUAUGCGUGCUUCCUACUGUUCUUUUGUUGGCUUGUUAUAUAAUUGUUAUGUAAUUAUGUAACACACAUUGUUUCGGAAAUGUUUAUAACACAUAUUAUUAAAGAAAAUAACUUUGAAUAUUAGCAUAUAAGUAAUGUUUAUAUAAUUCACCUUAAAGUAUUGUGAGAGAUUAGCAGUAAAUACUUUCAACCUAAUCUUGCAUACAGCCUUAGUCUACAAUACAUUUCAGUACGUAAUGCUUAACAUAUAUAAUACUGUUAUAUUGGCAACAAAUCGACUGUCUUAGAAUAUGUGUGCGAUAAACGUCAUAAAGAAUAUGUAUUAAAAAAAAUGCUGACAAUUCUAAAUAUUUUUAUACACUUCAAAUAAAAGUAAGACAUGUUUAUGGCAUAUAUAUUUUGUAUACCGAUGAAAUUUGUGCUUUGCAAAUUGAACAAGUUUUAACAUCAUCACUAUCUUGCAUGAUUUAACUAGAACAAUCUGCACAAGUGCAGAAGUGACCGCACAGUAUGAAAAGAUGAGUCGAUUCAGCAAUACUACACAUAAAUAAUGCACGUACGAUCAGA